rnacentral:lncRNA from 1 species
GAGCAGCUGGAAGUAAGAUCAUCGUGACAACACGUGACGCUAAUGUCGCAAAGAUGAUGGGAGAUAGUAGCCCUUAUAACUUGAAGCCGAUGUCAGAAGAUGAUUGUUGGAAACUCUUUCAGCACCAUGCACUCUUAAAUAACAGACCUGAAGAUGUUGAGUUGCUUAAGGAGAAAAUUGUAGAAAAAUGUGAUGGGUUGCCGUUGGCUGCAAGGACACUUGGUGGUCUUUUACGCUGUAAAAGACUAGACGAAUGGGAAGACAUAUUAGACCACAAGACGUGGACACUAUCAGACUCAGAACAGAACAAGAUGGAGGAUAUCCUUCCGGCAUUAAAACUGAGCUAUCAUUAUCUCCCUUCGACUUUGAAACGGUGUUUCUCCUACUGUGGAAUACUUCCAAAUGAUUAUGAAUUUGAGGAGAUGCAAAUUAUCCUUUGGUGGAUGGCAGAAGGUUUGAUUCCGCAGCAACCCAAAGAACAUAAGCAAAUUAAUGGAAGAUUUGGGACGUAACUAUUUUCAAGAGUUGGUGUCUAGAUCAUUGUUUCAAAAAUCAAGAAAUGGAAAGUCGCGGUACAUAAUGCAUGACCUCGUUACUGAUUUGGCACGUUGGGCUGCAGGAAGUUCAUGUUGUAGAUUGGAGGAUAUGCAGAAUUAUGACUCGCAGCAACGUACAUGUUUGCCCAAGAUUCGUCAUUCGUCUUACAUUCUUGGAAAGUAUGAUGGAGUUAAGAAGUUUGAGGUCUAUUCUGAAGCUACAUCUUUGCGAACGUUCUUACCACUUGGGUCACUUUCAAUUCAUUAUCUGGCUCAUAAGGUUACUUCUUAUUUAUUGACCAAACUCCAUUACUUACGACUGCUCUCUCUAAAUGGAUACCGAAUAACCGAGUUGCCAGAUACAAUUGGUGAAUUGAAGCAUCUACGGUAUCUUGAUCUCUCCUACACAUUGAUAGAAAGUUUGCCAGACUCAACAACCACUCUUUACAACUUGCAGACAUUGAUAUUGAAAUGGUGUGGUCGGUUGAAGGCACUGCCCACAAGCAUGAGGAACCUAGUUAAUUUGCGUCAUCUCAACAAUUCAGAUACAGGGUCAUUGGAAGAAAUGCCUCCUCAGCUUGGUCAAUUGACUAACCUCCAAACAUUGCCUGAGUUUGUUAUUGGCAAAGGUAGUGGAUCAGGAGUAAGAGAGAUUGAGUCAUUAUUGCAUCUGCAAGGGACAUUGCACAUCUCAAGACUAGAAAAUGUGAUUUAUGUCGAGGACGCCAGGAGUGCCAACUGCUUAAAGAGCAAGGAAAGGCUUGAAGCCCUAUUUCUUGAAUGGUCUUCUUCGAGUGUCUCAACAGAAGAUGCAGCAAUUGUGCUUGACAUGUUACAACCUCAUAGCAAGCUCAAAAAGCUCACCAUUAAAGGUUAUGCUGGAUUGAAAUUUCCAAAAUGGAUUGGAGAUCCUUCAUUCUCUACAAUGGUGCAGGUAAUGUUAAAAGGUUGUAAUCAUUGUCAAUUCUUGCCACCAUUCGGACAAUUGCCUUGUCUCAAAGAACUUUAUAUACAAGAAAUGGAUGCAGUGGAGAGUACUGGUGUUGAGUUUUAUGGAGAAGGUAACUUGCCGUUUCAAGCUUUAAAGACCUUGGAGUUUUGGAAUCUGAAAAAUUGGAAGAAGUGGUCUCAUUGCCAACAAAAUGAGGGGGUGGGGGUUUUCUCUUGCCUGAAAAGGCUUUCCAUCAGGGGCUGCCCCAAAUUGGAGGGUGAUUUACCGGAGAAGCUUGAUUCAUUAGCACAACUUCAACUAUUUGGAUGUGAGGAAUUGGUGGUUUCGGUAUCCAAAUAUAAACAGCUUCAUAGAUCAUACAUUGAACAGUGCAAGAUGGUGGUGUAUGACACAAGUACAGUUGGAUUUGACUUACUAGAGAGUUUGAUAUUUUCAAAUAUACCAGAGUUGAGAUUCCAAACAGAGACGUUCAUGAAAAGCUUGAAAAAUGUUAAAGAGUUGAAGAUCAUUGGUUGUGAGGAGCUUACAUGUUGCUUUCAAAAUGAGGAUAGAUUACUACAACACUUGAUUUCUCUUGGUUGUUUGUAUAUCGAAGGCAACUCCAUCCUCGUUGAAAAGCUAGGGAUUGAAGCAGAGCAGUUGGUUCAAUUGCAAAUCUUGGAUUGCAAUAUUGAACGUCUGGAAUUAAGCAAGUGUGGAAGCCUUAUGAAGGUACCAGAAGGAUUGCAUCACCUUAGAUCACUUCAAGAGCUGCACAUAAGUAAAUGUUCAAGUCUUGUUUCUUUUCCUGAUGUUGGUCUGCCACCUUGUCUCCAAGUCACAGUGAUUGUGGACUGCGGAUCUCUGUUGCACUUUGCAAAAUACCAGAUAUCUCUCAGCCUAAAAAGAAUAGAGAUAAGGAAUUGUGGGAAUUUGAAGUCAUUAAUAGAGAAAGAGGAGGAGGUGGAUAACGGUUCUUCUUCUUCUCGUCUUGAGAGUUUGAGAAUAUGGCUUUGUCCCUCUUUGAUGUGCUUAUUAUGCAAAAGUCAAUUACCCAGGUCUCUUAAACAGCUUGAGAUAAUGUGUUGUGGACAGCUGGAGCUAAUCAGUGAGAGGUUCCUCGAUGACAGCUGGCAACUCGAAGAAAUUGACAUCAGGGACUGCCCAAACCUGAAAUCCUUGCCCGAGGGACUGUGCGGCCUCACCGACCGUCGGUCAUUAAUAAUUUUUUAUUGUCAAAGUCUUGUUUCGUUGCCGAGAAUGAAUGUGUGGCCAAGAGUGAUACGGAUCGAAAAUUGCGAUAAAUUGGAGGUGGCACAGUUGGCGAGAGACAUGAUGCACACCAGUAAUCUUGAAAAACUGGAAAUUGAUUACUUUGAAGGUUUGACGACUACAACUUUCUUCCCCACCAACCUAACAACACUGUCAAUCUACAAUAUCAAGAACUGUAAGGCACUGAUGGAAUCUCAAGGGUUGCAGAGACUCACCUCUUUGAGAGAAUUGGAUCUGAGGGGUGAAGAUGAUGGAGGUCUGGUGUCAUUUCCACCUGCUGCUAAGAAUUCAAAGGAGACGGAGAUACUGCUUCCCAGAUCUCUUGUUAAGUUGAGUAUUGCAGGCUUCCCAAAUCUAAAGAAACUGAGCAAGGGCUUUCAAUUCCUCACCUCUCUUGAAAGUAUUUGGAUCUUCAACUGUCCGAAGCUUACAACCCUUCCAGUGGAGGAAGGCCUGCCUCUUUCACUUGCGCUACUUUAUACUAGCAAUUGUCCUCUGCUUGAAGAGAGAUACAAAGGACGAUACAGGCACAAGAUAGCACACAUCCCUUGCGUACUAAUUAAUUAAUUACGAAGUCAUAUAUUACGACGUCAAACUUUCCUGACUUUGAAAAGUGAAGGAACAUACUGAAGCUUGUCAAACUUUCCUAUGUUUUAAAUUUGAACUUUUUAUUUCUUCCAUCUGCGGGUCUCCAUAUGCUGAGCAAUGAGCACAUCCUUUUCCUCCUCCACAUAAUAUGACAUUUCGAGUCUCAACUCGAUCCCUUCCAGGAAGAGUUUGUAAUACACUGCUUUGUAGUUUUGUAUCUAUAGAAACAAUAUCAGCUCUGUCGAGGUUUGUCAAAUACGCUAAGCUGUGAAAAUGCAAUUCAAUUUGUUAGUUUUGUUUCGUGCUGGAAAACUUGCAUCAGGCAUUUGAACAGUAUUGCAUGUAGUUUUGUAUUCUAUGUUGAAGUUUAAUUUGCUAAUAACUAUUCAAAUACUCGUAGUAUUCAAUGGCUUUAUAACAAUGUAUUAUGUCAUCUUAAUCAAGCAACUAAUCAAACACAAGCUGCCAUUGCUGGUUGUAAACUGUGGCAAACACUCUCAAGGGUUGAUAUUUGUCAAAAAAGUAAGUAGUUCGGACUUUUAAAUGUAACAUAUUUAGUAGCAAAACAUAUAUGUUGAACAACAGCAUGAGACUCUUUUAUAGUGCUUGUUUCAGAGCUCUAAACUAAGAGAAAACAUUUUUGUUACCUCUAUGUUAUGGGGUAGUCAUCAUCAUUACCCUGUUGUUUCAGAGCUCCAAAGUAAGCACAGAUUCUAGAUUACUUACCUAUCAACAGCAAAUUCAUUUCUUAAUCUACUGACUAAAUUUUGAACUAGGCAGAUGGUUAUGUUGGUUGAUAACUUGAUAUUGUGGACUUCUAUCAUUUACUUGAAAAUUGAGUUCUUUGGCUGCAGAUUCAUACGGUAAUCAAUGUCCCACUUGAGAUUCAUAGUUUCUGAUUUCCCAAGUACAGCUGACUUAUGAAGCAUUCAAAAUAUUUUGAAAACAUUUAAAGUGAACUCCUUUAUAUUACAGACACUAUCAAAAUGUGACACCUUUCCUGCCUUAAAGGUGUGCAUGAUAUUUUUCUCUUUAAAUUGAUUGGUGUGAUUGUAAUGUGCCUUUUAACAUGUUGCAGAAACACGUUGGAGUCUUACUGACACCUCCAACUGGGAAAGAAAGAGCAGAUGAAUGGAGAGGUCUCGACUCUCGGCGUCAAUUGCAAAUAAAAGUUGAAGAUGUGCAAAGGUAAAUCAUUCCUAUGAGUAUUGCAGUUCUGAUAUUUCCAUAAAGUUAGUUGGUUAAUCAAUAUGAGAAUUCUUCUCUUUUCCUUGUAUGCAGGCCAGCAUGUGAUGUGGCUAUAUCAGGCUUUGGGUGGAUUAGUAUUGAACCUUAUUUGCAGAUUAUUAAGAAGUUCUGAUUCAAAUUCAGAAAAAACUGCAGGGGAACUGCAUUUAGCUGUGCAUGUCCCCAAGCCAGUCGAAAUAUUUGUUAGGUCUCCAAUCCCAGUGGGUAAGUCUGGAGCAGAGUGGUAUCAGUACCGGGAGUUGACCGAGAAGGAAGAGGAAGAAAGACCAAAAUGGCAUUACUGAUUCUUGUGUAUGUAGAGAAAUAUGCAGUCAUUUAGUGUUGUAAAAAAGAAACUGAGGUGAGUAGAUAUUCAGACAUACAGACUAUAGAAACAUGUACAAUGCCCGAGAGUGUAGCCUGUUGUACUGAACUAGUAUUUCUGAGAGAAAGAAGUUUUGACUAUUCUAUAUCGUAGAAAUUGCUCCGGAAAACACUGUUAAACACCAAUUUUACAAUAGGAACCAACUGCAGAGAUUUUUCUAAGAAAACAAGAAAUUGUUCAAAAUCCGAAAUCGUGGGUUGUAACACAUGUUUUUUUGACAAAAAUUUAAUGUUCUUAUAUGCUCCCCAAAGUCCUUACUUUGGUAAAUCAUGAUUUUUAAGCAAUUUCAAAACUGAUCAACUUCAAAAAUCUUCACCCGAAUUCUUUUAAUGAUUUUUCAAACUCGGAAUACCAAGAAAAUCAUUAGAAAAAAACUGAAUUGAGAUUUUCGAGUUAUGUAACUUGGAGCAGCUAUUCUCAAAAACUUUUUGUAUUAAUUUUGAAUUUUUCAUUUACAAUCGAUAUCAUGCAGUCCAAAACGACGUCGUUCAGGAGUUUAAAGCUCAUUAACCGUUGGAUAAAACGCAAUAUGUAAAUCACAGGCCCAAAAUCCAAGUAGUUUCCCGCCUUUGUCUAGGGUUAAAAAUUCGAACCCACCCAAAAAGCGGAAAACAAAAAAAAUUCGAACCAUUUUCACACUUUCAACUUCCGAAAGCAAAAACCAGAAGCUCAAAUUUCUAGGGUUCCGAUCUAUCACCGACCCCAAAUCUCUCCAAAAUCGGCCACCGAUUAGCGUCCGCAUCUCUCUGGCGACCGCAGCUAUGUACAUCAACGAGGUGACCUUGGAAGGAUUCAAGUCCUACGCGACGCGGACGGUGGUGCCGGGAUUCGACCCGUUUUUCAACGCCAUAACUGGGCUAAACGGGUCGGGUAAGUCCAACAUUCUCGACUCGAUUUGCUUCGUUCUGGGCAUCACCAAUUUACAGCAAGUGAGGGCCGCCAAUCUUCAGGAGCUGGUGUAUAAGCAAGGCCAGGCCGGAAUUACUAAGGCCACCGUGUCAAUCGUCUUCGACAAUUCGGAUCGGGCGCGCAGUCCUCUCGGGUAUGAGGCCCAUUCGGAGCUCACCGUCACACGGCAGGUAUGUCGUUUGUGGAAUUUUGAUGUCGUUUUUGAUGUUGAAUUUUGGGGGUUGUGGCUUAAUUGCUUUGUUUCCUUACUGUUUUUAAGUUGAAUUUUAGUGAAUAAGUUGUAAUUUUAUGAGAAGUUAGAUAAUCGCAACCGGAAUUUAGUUGAGCCGAUAAGUAGUUGAAAUCCAGGGUUUCUUGCUUAAAAGGUUGAAUUUAGUUAUAAGUUGCUCUACAGAUUGUGGUUGGUGGGAGGAACAAGUACUUGAUCAACGGGAAACUUGCGCAGCCGAGUCAGGUCCAGAAUCUUUUUCAUUCGGUGCAGCUCAAUGUGAAUAAUCCGCAUUUUCUGAUUAUGCAAGGCCGGAUUACCAAGGUUUUGAAUAUGAAACCCCCUGAGAUUUUGUCUAUGCUUGAAGAGGCUGCCGGGACGAGAAUGUAUGAGACCAAAAAGGAAGCAGCUCUUAAGACACUUGAGAAGAAGCAGAGUAAAGUUGAUGAGAUCAAUAAGCUUCUGGACCAUGAGAUACUGCCUGCGUUGGACAAGUUGAGGAGAGAAAGGACACAGUAUAUGCAGUGGGCUAAUGGCAAUGCUGACUUGGAUCGGCUCAAGAGGUUUUGCAUUGCUUAUGAAUAUGUUCAAGCGGAGAGGAUUAGAGACAGUGCAGUUUGUGAGGUGGAACAAGUGAAGGCCAAAAUUUCUGAGGUUGACAAUGAUACCAGAAAGAUGCAGGCAACAAUAAAGGAAAUGGAGGCACAAGUGUCCAAGUUGACUGCUGAAAAGGAGGCUAGUAUGGGUGGAGAAGUGAAAACUCUGUCCAACCAAGUAGAUGCGCUUUCUCAAGAUGUAGUGAGGGAAGUGUCUAUACUGGAUAACAUGAAGGACAAUCUUGACACUGAAAAUGAAAAUGCUAGAAAGGUAAUUGAUAUAUCGUAUUACUUACUGCUUUCUUUGGUAUGACACCAAGCACUUUCAAGUCUGUUAUGUAAUCAUUUGCUACAUGCUUUGUCUGAAAUGGUUUUGGUAACAUAGAAUUUGCCUCUCUCUGUUGUCAGAUCGCUAGCAACAUUGAAGACAUGAAACAAUCUCUAAAAGAUAGGGACUGUGCUAUAAGAAAUGCUGAAGAAGGAGCUGCUGAUUUGAAAAGAAGAGCGGAGGAACUUUCUCAUAGUCUGAAUGAGUAUGAGACUCAGUACCAGGUAAAUAGUGUAUCUAUGUGUUGCCUAUACCUUGUUCAUCUAAGUCACAUGUUAGGCUUGCAUGGUGUGCGAGUUACUUUUGGAAUCACUAUGAUUUUUGAUUCAUUAAUGUUUCCAGGGUGUAAUUGCUGGCAAGAGUAGUGGAAAUGAGGAGAAAUGCCUUGAAGAUCAAUUGGGUGAUGCCAAAAGAGCUGUAGGGAGUGCUGAAACAGAACUGGAACAGUUGAAAACAAAAAUUCGUCACUGUGAAAAGGAGUUGAAAGAGAAAAGUUCUCAACUAAUGUCAAAGCGUGAAGAAGCUGUUGCUGUAGAGAGUGAGCUGAAGGCUAGGAAAACAGAUGUUGAAAAUGUUAAAUUGGCACUGGAGUCUCUUCCAUAUAAGGAGGGCCAGAUGGAAGCUUUGCAAAAGGUUAACAUGCUGUCUGUUUGAUCAUUCUUUUUACAUCUAGACAGUUUAUAACUCUAUAUUUGGAUCCUUCUCUAAAUGAAUAUUUUAUUCAGGACCGAUCAUCUGAGUUGGAGUGUGUGCAGAAGUUGAAGGAUGAAAUGCGUAAUCUUUCAGGACACUUGGGAAACGUUGACUUUUCUUAUAGAGAUCCUGUGAACAAUUUUGAUAGGUCUAAGGUCAAGGGUGUUGUUGCAAAACUUAUCAAAGUGAAGGAUAGCUCCACAAUGACUGCCUUAGAGGUGAAAAUGCAUUUAUUACAGAUGAUUUCAUCUCAUGACUUAUAGAAUGUGUAUUAACUAGCAUAUCUUUGAUUUCUAGGUCACUGCCGGUGGAAAGUUAUUUAAUGUAGUUGUAGACACGGAAAGUACUGGAAAACAACUUCUUCAGAAUGGCAAUCUUCGAAGAAGAGUGACAAUCAUACCCUUGAACAAAAUUCAAGCUCACACGGUUCCUCCUAGGGUUCAAAAUGCUGCUGCUAAAUUGGUUAGUUUCCUUUGCCAAUAGUUGGUCCUGCCCCAACCUCGUUCUAGGCUUUUCUUUCCUCUCAAUGGGGGUGGUUUGUAUACUAAAAACCUUGAUUUCUAUGAUCAGGUUGGCAAGGAAAACGCUGAACUUGCACUUUCUUUGGUUGGCUAUGAUGAGCAACUGAGGGUAUCUUUCGAUCAUAAACAAAUUACAGACAAUCGGAAUAUGAUAAUUGCUCACGUUACCUACUAUUUAAUGUUCACUGCAGAGUGCUAUGGAAUAUGUCUUCGGUUCAACCUUUGUGUGCAAGACUACUGAUGCUGCAAAGGAGGUGAGAGGUUGAUUUGAUUGUGCUGUAGGCUGAUUUUAUAGUGUUGUCCUUUCAAACACUUGUAAUCUAAACUGGAAAGUGGCAUGACCCAAUCUGGUUCUCUAUGAAUGUUUCCUAGGUUGCUUUCAACAGGGAAGUUCGUACCCCUAGUGUCACUCUUGAAGGUGAUAUCUUUCAGCCCAGUGGUCUUUUGACUGGUGGAAGCCGCAAGUAAGCCACUAUUCUUUUUCCUCCAGUUCAGAUUUCAUGUGCUUGUGUUGUCCUUAUCAUUUAUCAAUUCAAAGUACAUAUACUUCUAGCUAGUUUUCCUUCUUAAGCAAUCAUUUCCUGUCACAGGGGUGGGGGUGAUCUGUUAAGGCAGCUUCAUGAGCUGGCUGAAGCUGAGCUAAAACUCUCUGAGCAUCAGAAAAAGUUGACUGAGAUUGAAGCUAAGGUUGCCUAUGAAAUCUUAUUUUCUCUCAAUAAGAUACUGAAAUUCCAUAUCACACUAUGCAAUUGACAAUUCAUAUUGUGGCUGUUUUACAUGUCAUUGGGCACUUCAUUUCCAUAGUAAUUUCAUCAAUGUAUUACUAUUUGCAGAUAAGAGAGAUUCAGCCUCUUCACAAGAAGUUCAUGGAGCUUAAACAACAGUUAGAACUCAAAUCAUAUGACCUUAAAUUAUUUCAGGGCAGGGCUGAACAAAAUGAGUAUCAUAAGGUUUUGUCACGUUUCUUUUCUCUUUUAGCAUACUCAGUUGCAGAACUAUGCUGCGGACUGUGUUUACUGGUUCAUUUAUGACAUGAAUCCUAAUUUUUUUAUUCUGCUAUCUAGCUUGGUGAAUUAGUAAAGAGGAUUGAGCUAGAGCUACAAGAAGCAAAUAGUGCAGCCAAAGAAAAGAAACUUUUGCAUGAAGAUUGUGUGAAUAAAGUGUCAUUUCUUGAGAAAUCAAUCAAAGAGCAUGACAACAGUCGGGAGGGAAGGCUGAAAGAUUUGGAAAAGAAGAUCAAAGAGACAAAAGCUCUACUCCAGUCAGCUUCAAAGGAUCUCAAGGUAAGUUUUAUUAUUGCUGAGAUUUAAUAGAAAUAUCGUCCAUGGGAUCUCAUUGAGCUUACUUUAUUUGAAACAACUUGUUUGAUGAUGUUCAUUGUCAGAUAGUGGAUCUUGUGAUCGUUUGGCUGGCCUGCUGAACCACCUAUCAAAUUUUGGAUCUCAUACUAUUAUAAGUGUAAUUCCUAAAAGGAUUUCUAUGUUCAACAUCUUUUUAUAUAAAACAAAUUUAAAAAUAAACUUAGUUAUGAAUAUCAUUAAGUCUUUUGCUUUCUAAUCCAAUUUACAUAACUUUGUUAUGGAAAAAUAAACUGCACGGGAGUUGUUUAACUAAGAUGCUCCCUCCGUAAUUGAAACAUCCAGGAAAAAGUAAAAGAUUAGCAUUUUGGAAGAUGUCUGCCAAUGUUAUUUAGAAGUCUUCAUGUGGCUAAUUCUGUUUGGAAACUGCUCCAGUUUCUGGGUUGAUUAUUAUUGUCUGAUUCCACAUCAGCUCUUUAAUUUUUGUGUGAUAUGAUUUUACUGACUGAUAGGGACAUGAAAAUGAAAAGGAGAAGCUUAUUAUGGAAAAGGAUGUUGUUUUAAAAGAGCUUGCAUCUUUGGAGACUCAGUUGUCUUCUUUGAGAGCACAAAUUGAUGGACUCAUUUCAGAAGUAGAAGAACAGAAAGAGAAGGUAAAAACUCUGAUACUGUUUUUGACUCAUAUUUUGUGUACAAUUAUUCAUGCUACAAACUUCUCUUUCACAGGUAAAUUCUACAAGAAAUAAGCAUGAUCAUGCAAAAUCCCAGCUUGAUUCAAUUCGUAUGAAGAUGAAGGAGUGUGAUUCCCAAAUUAAUGGCAUUGAAUCUGAGCAGCAAAGACUUCAAGACAAACUUCGCGAGACAAAUCUUGAACGGAAGAGGAUGGAAAAUGAGGUACUUUGCUAAUGGUCCUCCAAGUGUUCUCCAUAAUUAUAACUCAUUUCUAAUCUUUCUGGAAAUAUUAAUUAGGUAAAACGUAUGGAAACGGAACAGAAAGACUGCUCUACGAAAGUAGAUAAGUUGAUAGAGAGGCAUGCCUGGAUAACUUCUGAGAAACAGCUGUUUGGGAAAACUGGAACUGAUUAUGAUUUUGCCACGCGGGAUCCUUGCAAUGCAAGGGAAGAACUAGAUAAACUGCAGGCUCAACAAUCUGGGUUCGUGACUUGGAUUUUUCUUCUUCAUUAUUGUUGGUUAUACUUGCUGGAGUAUUUAAAUUUUUGAUAUGUUCUGAAGUUUGUUAUUAGUACCUUCCAUGAGGCUGAGAGAUGACUUUUUCUUCCUUUUGUAGCCUUGAGAAAAGGGUGAAUAAGAAAGUUAUGGCAAUGUUUGAGAAAGCAGAAGACGAGUACAAUGACCUAAUGGCUAAGAAGAACAUCAUUGAGGUUGGUGAACCUUGAUCUGUCUGUGUGCUGUUUUUCCUUUGCUUUUACUUACUUCUAGAUUUGCCUUCUUAGAAUGACAAAUCUAAGAUCAAGAUGGUGAUUGAAGAGCUGGAUGAGAAAAAGAAGGAAACGUUGAACGUUACUUGGGUCAAAGUUAACAAGUGAGUCAUUCUCGGUUGACUUUGUGAUUUUCAUCAACUUCUCUAUACUUCCGAUGCUAUUUGUCUUUGACUCCAACCUGAAACUGAUCAAAACUUUCUUCCUUCAGAGACUUCGGGUCUAUCUUUUCUACCCUUUUACCCGGCACGAUGGGAAAGCUUGAACCUCCUGAAGGGUGUAACUUCCUAGACGGCCUUGAGGUGCGUGUUGCAUUUGGGGGUGUUUGGAAACAGUCCUUGUCUGAACUGAGUGGAGGUCAGCGAUCCCUGCUGGCGCUUUCUCUGAUCUUGGCAUUACUUCUCUUCAAACCAGCUCCUCUGUAUAUACUGGAUGAGGUAUACUUAACUUUUUUUUAGGGUUUAUUAACUGAACUGGGUGCAAUUUGGGUUUAGGAUUAGACUACAAGCUUCUCCUAUGGAUUCUCUACCAAAACAUUUCUACAACUUUGGUGCUCUUUUUUACAUGGGUUUUAGCUAUUUUUUGUGUCGUUUCUUUGUUUGAAAUAGCUACUCCACAUGUGGGAGUUGUCAUUCAAAGUUUUACUCUCUUUUUUUCAUUUUCUUUUUUUUGGAGUAAUCUUGUGAGAUUCUUAGAGCAUCUGUAGACUGUAGUGGUAUUUGCAAAGCUUUAAUGUGGGUUCAUUAUAUUGUAUUGGUCUCUAAUUGUUAAGGUGAAACAGUUAUCAGCAUCUUAUUAUUCACUUACAGGUUGAUGCAGCUCUUGAUCUAAGUCACACCCAGAAUAUUGGAAGAAUGAUCAAAAGUCAUUUCCCGCACUCCCAGGUUGGUGGAUUCUGUCAUCUGGUUAUUUACAUUUUACCUAGCUGGAAUCUUCUUCUGACAUGUACCAUCUUUUCCUUUAGUAAUCCAUAAAGUUAGAUUUAGCUAAGAUAUAACUUCUUUUCCGUCAUUAUAUAAGUAAAUGAGUAAUACCAUCUGAAUUUUACAAAUAUUAAAAAGUUCACAGAACGUUUUAGACUUUUAGGCAUAGUUUUGAUCUGGCAUAACCACUGCUCUUUGACAUGGCAUUGUCCCUUGGGUGGUUGUAGAGUCUGGUAUUCUGGAGUUUGUAAUUCAAACCUCAUUCUACAAAAGAGCAGAUUGUGGCAUAACUUAAAAAGAUUAUAUGCGACGUCUACUUACCCAUUUUUCUUGUUUAUCACAUUUUUUUUUCAGUUCAUUGUGGUUUCACUGAAAGAAGGCAUGUUCAAUAAUGCUAAUGUCCUUUUCCGGACAAAGUUUGUGGAUGGAGUUUCAACUGUUCAAAGGACCGUUGCUAAACAAAACAAGUGAUACUGGUACAUCUCCAAUCCCUUUACUAAAUGGCCCUUUCUACUGUUUUCUUUCCAUGUUUCCAUGCUCAUUUCAAUUGUAGCUUUGCGUUGAACACAAGUUGCUUCUUUGCUAUCAUAUCAAGUCUAACUUGUUCUGAUUUGUCAAACUUUUCUCUUUUGGUUCAGAUGUUUUACUUUACCAUGGUGAAUGAUCCUUUCCUGUGGAGGCUUAUCUAUGUUCAACGUAUGUAUGAGAAACUUCUUGUUUGUCUACUACAUGUGUUAUGGAACCAAUCUCCAGCUCUCAUUUCGGUACAAAUGUAUAUGUAAAACUCUCUUGACUCUUGCCAAAUUUUUGAAUAAUUGUAUGGUUUUGAAUGAUAUUGCCCAUGAGCCCAUCUCUGUGAAGUCUAUUCAAUAAUUUUUCAAAUUCACCAAAAAACGGUGGCCCAAACGGUGGCCAAAAACGCAUCUUCGUUGAUCCAAACAGUCUGAAAACCAAACAGUCGUGGAUAAAAACAGUCGGAUAAUCUGAACUUUGAUUUAUUAACUGUGAGUUUUGGAACUUGCAUCUUCCAAAAAUCAUUAACUGUGAGUUAUUUAAUUAAGGUCCAUCCAAACAGUCGUGGAUAAAAACCAGUGCCAAACUUAUGCCACGAAUGAAAAUAUGACACGUUAUCAUUAACCUAGAAUUGGAGGUGGCUCACCUUUGUUUUCAUCGAUUGACUUUUUGGAAAGUUUUCAUAUCUAGACUUUCAUCUCUAAAGAAGAAAGGGCUUCAGAUAUCCUUUGAUCCAUGUAAGCUCUUCUUGAAUCCGUUACUAAUUUCAUUCUGUUAAUCAGUUUUAUUCAUGUUGGAUUAUCAUUAUGAACUAAUUAAACUGGAAUCAGAUCGAUCUGCAACAAGAAAGUCUGUCAUGAUCAUGAUCUAAGAGACUUGGCUCACCUUGUGGAAGAAUUAACGUUGCAAAUGUUUUAGUUGUGAUCUCACAGAAGAAAUAAUCAACUUUUCAUGUAAGUGCAUGUUUUCCGAUCUUGCAAAUUAAGGGAAACAAAUCAAAUUUAAACACCCAUUUCAUUGUUUAAAUUAUUUUCUAGCAUGCAUGGAUCAACUAGAACUGUACCUUAAUUAACUACUAGCUUCACUUUCUGCAGUUUUGAAUACCGUCGAUUGUACAAAAAAGAAACCAUGGGGGAGGCUGUUCUUGGUGCAUUCCUCCCGGUGCUGCUUGAGAAGUUGGCGGAUCAAGAGAUCACUGUGUACUUCGGACGCCUUAAGGGGGUCGACAAAAAGGUGCUGGAGAAAUGGACUAGAACGUUGACGGCCAUUGAAGCGGUGCUGAGUGAUGCUGAGGAGAAGCAACUAACACAAAGAGCAGUAAAACAGUGGCUGGAUGAUCUCAGAGAUUUGGCUUACGAUGUUCAAGAUGUAUUGGACAUAUUUGAUACUAAAAUGCUGAAGCGGAGGAUUGAAAAGAAACAAGGAAGCAAAAGCAAGCUAUGGAGCUCACUCUCUAUCUCUAAAGUUAAGUCCAAUUUUGGUCUGAACUCAGCAAUCAAGAAGAUAAGUGAUCGACUUGAGGAGAUAAGUACUCGAGAGAAGCAGUUUGGUUUGAAGAAACUUGGAGUGUCUAAAAAGCCAUGGAAAAUGCCACCCACUACUUAUCAACUUGACGGACCUGUGAUCGGAAGGGAUGAAGCAAAGGCUAAGAUUAUCCAUGAUUUGCUUUCAAAACAAGAAAAUUAUCAUGUGGUUGGUAUUGUCGGUACUGGAGGACUAGGAAAGACAACACUUGCUAAACAUGUAUUCAACGAUGCUGCAACUGGCCAGUUUUCCCCAAAAGGAUGGGUAUCUGUGUCAGACGACUUUGACAUUGUAAGGGUGGCAGCAGCCGUUUUGGAAUCAGUCACGUCAGCUCCAGUUCAGGUCAAGGAGCUUAACUCAAUUCUGGAGAAGAUAAGUAAGGAAUUGGCUGGCAAGAAGUUUUUAAUUGUUCUUGAUGAUGUCUGGCGCACUUGUAGCUAUGGUCAAUGGACUACACUGCAGGCCUCCUUUCGUGUUGGAGCAGCUGGAAGUAAGAUCAUCGUGACAACACGUGACGCCAAAGUCGCAAAGAUGAUGGGAGAUAGUAGCCCUUAUAACUUGAAGCCGAUGUCAGAAGAUGAUUGUUGGGAACUCUUUCAGCAACAUGCACUCUUAAAUAACAGACCUGAACAUGUUGAGUUCCUUAAAGAGAAAAUUGUAGAAAAAUGCAAUGGGUUACCGUUAGCUGCAAGGACUCUUGGUGGGCUUUUACGUUGUAAAGAAGUAGACGAAUGGGAAGACAUAUUAGACCACAAGAUGUGGAC